rnacentral:sRNA from 1 species
UAAAACGGAUCAAAGGCUAUAAACGCAACGUCCUGUUGCACCGCCUUUGUGACUCACAUCAUGUGAG